rnacentral:rRNA from 1 species
GAUUGAACGCUGGCGGCAGGCCUAACACAUGCAAGUCGAACGGUAACAGGAAGAAGCUUGCUUCUUUGCUGACGAGUGGCGGACGGGUGAGUAAUGUCUGGGAAACUGCCUGAUGGAGGGGGAUAACUACUGGAAACGGUAGCUAAUACCGCAUAACGUCGCAAGACCAAAGAGGGGGACCUUCGGGCCUCUUGCCAUCGGAUGUGCCCAGAUGGGAUUAGCUAGUAGGUGGGGUAACGGCUCACCUAGGUGACGAUCCCUAGCUGGUCUGAGAGGAUGACCAGCCACACUGGAACUGAGACACGGUCCAGACUCCUACGGGAGGCAGCAGUGGGGAAUAUUGCACAAUGGGCGCAAGCCUGAUGCAGCCAUGCCGCGUGUAUGAAGAAGGCCUUCGGGUUGUAAAGUACUUUCAGCGGGGAGGAAGGGAGUAAAGUUAAUACCUUUGCUCAUUGACGUUACCCGCAGAAGAAGCACCGGCUAACUCCGUG